CCAUCAGCCACACAGGGAAAAAAUCUAGCCAAUAGCAGCAAUCCAUUAAUGUCUCUGCUAAGGAUCUCAGGGCAUUGUGAGUGUAAAUAAAGCCUCACAGGGAUCCUGUGAAGAAGAUGUUAUUGUCUCUGUUUUACAGGGGGUGAAACUGAGGCACAAGGGCUGUAAACAGAUGUCCCAUCUGAGGCAGUCCUGAUUGAUCCAAGCCAAAAUCUGAGACAAAAGAGGAGUGGCACAAAAACGUUGGAACAACCACAGAGCUAUUUCCCGUGUGAUCCCCCUUUUCUACCUUGCACGCCCCCUGGAAAGGGCUAUAGUGGAAGCCAAGGGGUGAGGACUACUUCAAACCAGCUACUUUCACAACUGACCCCGUCAGACAGAUAUCACAGCUGACCUUCUGGAUUUACCUCUGCAGAUUUUCUCUUCACUCAAUAGGCAGCAGAGAGAAUCUACCUUAAAUUAACUCACCGACUUACGCUGCUGUGGGAGAACACAAUCUGGACCAUAAUGGCUCCAUUAUAUGUGGAGUAAUGGCCACAGGGAAGUAGGGAGAUUGCAGGUUCUAGCUCUGAAUGAGGCUGCCAACUCUUGAGACUGUCAGGAAACUUGUAAUAUCUGAUUUUUCCUUCUUAAAUCAUGGAGUAGUGUGAGUCUAUGAGACUUUCAGCUUGAAAAAAAAAAUAAAAUCUAAACUUAAUUUCUAAGUUUCUAGCUCUCAGAUUUUCACAAAACAACUUGAAAACGUGACUCAAGCUCACCCAAAAAGUUAAAAGAAAACCUUCACAGACAUAGAAGUAAUAAAAAAAAAUGGAUUAUUAAAAAGAAAGCAACUCACUGUGUUUAUGCCAAUGCCAGGAUUUUUGAAUGUUUGGGGCUAGUAAUACUGUUGACCAUGGGGAGGACACUAAAAAGAGUCCACACCUCGGAUUAAUUCUCUUUGGAGUUAAAAAAAAACUUUCAUCUGAGUUUUCAGGACUAUUAUUUUGGACAAGGAGAUCACAGAGCUAGAAGAGUGAGCUUGCUUCUCAUAUAACUAUACAUUGCAAGUCACUUCCCUUCACUUCGCUCAACACUCGUUUCUUUGGUUUCUCUUCCCAGUAUUCGAAAAGCUUUGUGAAUUUUCCAGCUUGUAGAAAUUGUGUGUCCCCCAUUCUGUUGAGGGGCCAACAUUUUCAAAACCAGCUGGGUGUUAUAGGGAUGUGAUCUCCAGAGACACAGUGCUCAGCCCUCUUGAAAAUUAGGCUCCUUUUUAGGUGUUUCAAGCUGGACACUCUAAACUGACUAGCCAUGAGAUGAGACUGAUGAAACCUGUCUCUUGCCUGCCUUUCUGCACCCUUUCCAAAGUCCCCUGAGAAAGUCAGCACUGCAGAUUUGGCACUUAUUCAUGUACAAUGAGACUUUGGCAUGGAAAGCAAACUUGGCCAGCCAUAUAUCACCUAACAUAUCUGUUACAUAGCAUUGUUUUAUGCUGUUCAAUGGUGGUUGCAUUCCCCCCAGAGGUGGCUGUGUUGCUGUGGUAGGAGAAUUCAUCUAUUUGCCAUCCCUGAUCUGCACCGAGGGGUUAUUUUAUUCAUAAUGUGUGAUGAAGUUUGUGAGAAGGUGUGAUAUCCUGUCACACACAUGUAGUAUGUCAUGAGAUACACUAUGUACAUGCAAAUAAAUAAACAUUAGCAUAUGCUGA